AUUGAACGCUGGCGGCAGGCCUAACACAUGCAAGUCGAACGAGUGGCGGACGGGUGAGUAAUGUCUGGGAAAUUGCCUGAUGGAGGGGGAUAACUACUGGAAACGGUAGCUAAUACCGCAUACCAUCAGAUGUGCCCAGAUGGGCGUGGCUUGUUGGUGGGGUAACGGCUCACCAAGGCGACGAUCCCUAGUUGGUCUGAGAGGAUGACCAGGCACACUGGAACUGAGACACGGUCCCGGCGCCUACGGGAGGCAGCAGUGGGGAAUAUUGCACAAUGGGCGCAAGCCUGAUGCAACCAUGCCGCGUGUAUGAAGAAGGCCUUCGGGUUGUAAAGUACUUUCAACGGGGAGGCGUUACCCGCAGAAGAAGGACCGGCAAACUCCGUGCCGGCAGCCGCGGUAGUUC
rnacentral:rRNA from 1 species